rnacentral:rRNA from 1 species
ACUCCCGAAACUAAGUGAGCUACUUCGAAACAGCUUUUAGAGCGCACCCGUCUCUGUCGCAAAAGAGUGGCACGAUUUCCAAGUAGGGGCAACAAACCUAUCGCACUUAGAGAUAGCUGGUUACUCAAGAAAAGAAUUUUAGUUCAACCUUAAGUUUCUUCACUAAACAAAAAAAUUUACAAAACUUAAGAGCUACUCAAAUAAGGCACAGCUUAUUUGAACCAGGACACAACCUAUAAUAUAGGGUAAUAACUAUCAACAAUUUACAAGUGGGCCUAAAAGCAGCCAUCUUUAAAAAAGCGUUAAAGCUUAAUACUUAUUUAUAUUAAUACCACCAUUAACCACCAACCCUUCACCAAUAUUGAGUAACUCCAUAACCCUAUGGAAGUUAUAAUGCUAGAACUAGUAACAAGAAUUAAACCUUCUCCUUAAUGUAAGCUUAAGCCUCAAUAGAUAAACUACUGGCAAUUAACGCAAAUGACCCAACUAUAUUAACACUACAAGAAAACCGUAUAUUCUAUAACGUCACCCUUACACCAGA